rnacentral:rRNA from 1 species
UACGAAGGGGGCUAGCGUUGUUCGGAAUUACUGGGCGUAAAGCGAGUGUAGGUGGUUGUCCAAGUUGGAUGUGAAAGCCUUGAGCUUAACUCAAGAAAUGCAUUCAGGACUGGGCGACUAGAGGACCGGAGAGGAUAGUGGAAUUCCCAGUGUAGUGGUGAAAUACGUAGAGAUUGGGAAGAACACCAGUGGCGAAGGCGGCUAUCUGGACGGUUUCUGACACUAAGACUCGAAAGCGUGGGGAGCAAACAGG